CCCUUAGAUGUUCUGGGCUGCACGCGCGCUACACUGAUGCGAUCAACAAGUUUUUCCUAUGUCGAUAGACACGGGUAAUCUUUUGAACUCGCCUCGUGAUGGGGAUAGAUUAUUGUAAUUAUUAAUCUUCAACGAGGAAUUCCUAGUAGGUGCAAAUCAUCAGUUUGCAUCGAUUACGUCCCUGCCCUUUGUACACACCGCCCGUCGCUGCUACCGAUUGGUUGAUCUGGUGAAUUAUUCGGACUGCCGGCUGAAGGGGUUUCCUCAUCUGCCAGCGGAAAGUCUUGUUAACCCUAUCAACUAGAGGAAGCAGAAGUCGUAACA
rnacentral:rRNA from 1 species